GGGUCAGAGUGGCGGUUGGUCUGAAAUGGCGGACGUUGUGCAGGGUCUGAGAGACAAUUCCUUCCCCCCCGGACGGUGAGAGUUAGUGAUCCUGCGGCCACGAACCGAGCUGUUUGUAAUGUCCUCUUGUGUGUGAAGCCGAACCGAGCUUCCGAAGAAUGUUCGCUCGCCUCGAAACGUUAACUCUAUUUCUCUCUCCACAGAUGCUGCCGAAUCCGGUUUAGUUCUGUUCCUUUGUCUUGGCAGGAGUAAGUUGGAAAUGGGAUGCUAUGGAUUUAUAAGCAAAUGACUGGGCUUCCUUCCUUUGAAGAAAUCACUUUUGUGCAAACAUCAUGGGACAAUGGAUGCCAGCUUCUAACAUUGGUUAUAACCACACAAUAGCCACCAAAUCAGAUUAUAACAGCUUUUAUCUCAAAAAUAAACAACUUUAUUUACAUUUCA